GACAGAGGGGGGUAAGCGUUGUUCGGAAUUACUGGGCGUAAAGGGCGCGUAGGCGUCUUCUCACGCGUGCGGUGAAAGCUCGGGGCUUAACUCCGAGUCUGCCGUGCGAACGGGGAGGCUUGAGUCUGGUAGAGGUCGAUGGAAUUCCGGGUGUAGCGGUGGAAUGCGUAGAGAUCCGGAAGAACAACGGUGGCGAAGGCGGUCGACUGGGCCAGUACUGACGCUGAGGCGCGACAGCGUGGGGAGCAAACAGG
rnacentral:rRNA from 1 species